UGGAAAACACAAACUCUCUUACACUUUUGUUCAUCUUCUCCCAUCUCUCCUAUUUCUCUCAGUUCUGAUUCUAAUUCUCUUUAGUUCUCUCUCUUUCUCUCAGUCCGUCGUUGAUGUUGGGUCUAGGGUUCAUCAAUUCUUUUUUCAUCGUCGUUUUUCUGAGGUUUUGCGCGUCACGGGUAUAUGAUCCAUCUCUCUGGUUCAAGCUAGGACGACGGUUCUCCUGAUAUCCUUCUAUCUUAUUCUUAAACCAGUGAGCUACUCUACUCUGUAACAAGUAAUACUAUCUUCAAUUUUAUCAUUGUUUUUUUUAGAUUUGAUUCUGUUUCUUUGGGAAUUGCUAUCAUCUUCGAUUAAAUUUCUUCUUCGGCUCUGUUUAUGCAGGAAUUUCAACGGGACUUGUGAUUAGGACAUGGCACGAAGACGCACACAAGACAAUAGAGUCUCGUCUCGUCUCG
rnacentral:lncRNA from 1 species